CGGUGGGUAGGGUCGGGAGAAUAGCCGCCUCCCAUUAUUCCGCAGCCGGCUACAGCGGAGACCAGCAACUGCCAGGUAAAACGUCUAAACAAGGAAACCGUUAACCCGACUCCAAGGCGAACCUGCGCCGUGGUGGGUGGGUGCAAGAAGCAAACCCUUCGAAGGGAGGGUAUUGACUUCGAGCUAUCGAAAUGGGUGAGGUCCGGGAGGGAGCAACCCUAAGAUAGUGCAUCCACGCUUCCACGUCCACGUAGGGGAUUGGAUAGGGCUGAUAGGCCCUGUUUAGGCAUGAAUACUGGCAGAACCAUCG
rnacentral:SRP_RNA from 1 species